rnacentral:rRNA from 1 species
UACGUAGGGGGCCAGCGUUGCUCGGAAUUACUGGGCGUAAAGGGUUCGUAGGCGGUGCGGAAAGUUGGGAGUGAAAUCUCUGGGCUUAACCCAGAGGCUGCUUUCAAAACUUCCGUGCUCGAGUGCGAGAGAGGUCAGUGGAAUUGCAGGUGUAGCGGUGAAAUGCGUAGAUAUCUGCAGGAACACCCGUGGCGAAGGCGGCUGACUGGAUCGCAACUGACGCUGAGGAACGAAAGCUAGGGGAGCAAACAGG